rnacentral:rRNA from 1 species
UGGGGAAUUUUGGACAAUGGGGGAAACCCUGAUCCAGCCAUCCCGCGUGUGCGAUGAAGGCCUUCGGGUUGUAAAGCACUUUUGGCAGGAAAGAAACGUCAUGGGUUAAUACCCCGUGAAACUGACGGUACCUGCAGAAUAAGCACCGGCUAACUACGUGCCAGCAGCCGCGGUAAUACGUAGGGUGCAAGCGUUAAUCGGAAUUACUGGGCGUAAAGCGUGCGCAGGCGGUUCGGAAAGAAAGAUGUGAAAUCCCAGAGCUCAACUUUGGAACUGCAUUUUUAACUACCGGGCUAGAGUGUGUCAGAGGGAGGUGGAAUUCCGCGUGUAGCAGUGAAAUGCGUAGAUAUGUGGAGGAACACCGAUGGCGAAGGCAGCCUCCUGGAAUAACACUGACGCUCAUGCACGAAAGCGUGGGGAGCAAACAGG